CCUUUCUUCUUCUUCUUCUUAUUCUCUCCCUCUCUCUCUCUACCCGACAUGAUUCUUCUCUUUCUUCUUUUCUGCCUUUUUUUCCUUUCUUUCUUCUUUUUUCCUGCGGCUGCUUCCUCUCUCCACCACCUCAUGCGCCAUGGCCAUCGUGCCUCAUUUCCUUUCUCUCUCGACUGUUGCAUCGCACAACGCGGCGAGACCCUUCUCUCUCAGUCGUCAAUGCCGCUCGAUUCUCUCUUCUCUCACAGUCGCAUCUCUCCAUUCUCAAUCUCUGAU
rnacentral:lncRNA from 1 species